ensembl:lncRNA
ACAAGGACGGCCCAUGUGCUGGGAGAGGGACAGGGAGGAAGCUCUCCCUUCCUGGUGGCCCGGCCCUGAGUAGGGGUCAGUGAGGGGUCUUUAACUGACUCCCAGGCCCCUCUCCAAGCCCCUCUAUGAGCAGAGAGGCUGAUGCCCUUUCUGCUUUUCCACAACUGAGAUCUCACCUCCACAGAGGGACCUCCACCCCUCCCCAUCCCUGCUUCCCCAGAGUUACUGCCUACAUCCCACUGGCCUCAGUUUGGGCAUCUGAGAAAAGGGAACCUCACUCAGCACUCCUAAACUAUACUUCACCUAAAAGACAGAGAAGCCUGGAAGAGGGCACAGCAGUGGUAAAGAAGCCAAAUUAGAGGGCUGGAGCUGCCGCUGGGAGAGAGGAGCUGGUCACCUGAAUUAGGAAACACUUGGCAGAUGAGCAGCUGGAAGCGAGAUCAUCCAGGGAAAUGUGUAGAUGGUGAGGAGAGUUGUGUCGAUGCAUCCUCUUUAAAAUCAGACUAAAGGAAGAACGCCCAGAGCCGCCACUCAGAAUCCAUGAUAUCUUAAAGAUCUUGAUGAAAUAAGACCAAAAAAGAAGUUGAAGACAUGUGGCUCGGAAAGGGAAAAAAUAAAUCAGUCCUUCUUUUUGGCAGAUGAUAUGAUUUUCCAUCCAGAAAGUCAAAAAGAAUCUGGAGAAAAACAACUAGUAAUAAUAAGGGGGUUUUAGCCGUGUGGCUGAACGUAAGACCCACAUACAAAUUGCGUAUACAAACGUCAGUGGCACCCCUAUAUACCAUCAGGAAACUUUAAAAUGUUGCUACUAUCUAUGUAGCAACAAAAACUACAAACAUAACUGGAAAUAAGUCUAACAAAAGUUGUAAAAACUUCAAUGCAGAAAUUUGUAAAAUUUUCCUGAAGGAUGAAAGAAGACCUAAAUGAAUGAAGAGACAUCUUAUAUCCAUGAAUAGGGAGAUUUCAUAUCGUAAUAUAAUCUUCCCCAGUUCGUCUAAUGAUUUAAUACAACUCCAAUAAAACGUAAUAGGAUCCUUUGUGGAAGUUGACAAUUUGCCUCCGAAGUUAAGAUGGAAGAACAAAAGGCCGGGACACCUAGGAGGGCCCUGGAGACGGAGGCGGCCAGCCCUGCCGGAUGGUGUUAGUGCAGGGUAAGCGGCUGACCAAACAACAGACAGACGCACCAGCCAGCCCCGCACGCGCAGGACUUCCACGCACAACGCAGGUCCCGGGGAGGACCAGCGGAGAGGAGCGGCUUCUCAAUAAGUGUGUCUGGAAUAAUCUGUUAUCUAUUUGGGAAAAAUUAAACCAUACACUAAAAUCCAUUCCAGGUGUAUUAAGAACUUGUGUCAAAGCAAAUGUCUGAAGCAAAAUUUUAAAAAUUUUAGAAGAAACUAUAGGUGAGAAUUUCUGAUUUCAAGGUAAGGAAGGAUUUCUUAAAGUACAAAAAGUGCUGACGUAAAAGAAAAAGACUGAUAUAUUUGGAUACAUUAUGAUUAAGAACAUCUGUAAAUCAAAAGACAAUUAAAACCAAUUUAAAAAAUAAGUCAGGGGCCGGCCUGGUGGUGUGCUGGUUGGGUUGGCACACUCCGCUUCAGUGGCCCGGGGUUCGCGGGUUCGGAUCACAGGCAUGGACCUGAACACCGCUCAUCAAGCCAUGCUGUGGCAGCCCAUACACAGGGUGAAGGAAGAUGGCAUGGGUGUUGGCUCAGGGACAAUCUUCCUCACAAAAGAAAGAAAAAUGAAAAAUAAGUCAAAGUGUGAGACAAUACCAUUCCUUCCAAUAAAGUCCUUUGGUACCCUGCCUCCCACAAAGAAAGCCAGAGCCCUGAAAAGCUUGGUGCGCACAGUUCAUGCCAUAAACAACAAGCAGGAUGGCCGGCCCGGGGGCACAGUGGUUAAGUUCGCAUGUUCUGCUUGGGUGGCCCAGGGUUCGCCAGUUAGGAUCCCAGGUGCAGACAUGGCACCGCUUGGCAAGCCAUGCUGUGGUAGGCGUCCCACAUAUAAAGUAGAGGAAGAUGGGCACAGAUGUGAGCUCAGGGCCAGUCUUCCUCAGCAAAAAGAGGAGGAUUGGCAGCAGAUGUUAGCUCAGGGCUAAUCUUCCUCAAAACAAAAAAAAACAACAAAAACAAGCAGGAAAGAUUAAGUGGUGGCGGCAAGGAAGCACUGAG